rnacentral:rRNA from 1 species
UACGUAGGCAGCGAGCGUUGUUCGGAGUUACUGGGCGUAAAGGGUGUGUAGGCGGUUGUUUAAGUUUGGUGUGAAAUCUCCCGGCUCAACUGGGAGGGUGCGCCGAAUACUGAAUAACUAGAGUGCGGGAGAGGAAAGUGGAAUUCCUGGUGUAGCGGUGAAAUGCGUAGAUAUCAGGAGGAACACCGGUGGUGUAGACGGCUUUCUGGACCGUAACUGACGCUGAGACACGAAAGCGUGGGUAGCAAACAGG